rnacentral:rRNA from 1 species
AUAUCAAUAAAGCGGAGGAAAAGAAACUAACAAGGAUUCCCCUAGUAACUGCGAGUGAAGCGGGAAAAGCUCAAAUUUAAAAUCUGAUGGUCUUUGGCCGUCCGAGUUGUAAUUUAGAGAAGCGUUUUCCGCGCUGGACCGUGCACAAGUCUCCUGGAAUGGAGCGUCAUAGAGGGUGAGAAUCCCGUCUUUGGCACGGAUACCCCAGGGCUUUUGUGAUGCGCUCUCGAAGAGUCGAGUUGUUUGGGAAUGCAGCUCAAAAUGGGUGGUGAACUCCAUCUAAAGCUAAAUAUUGGCGAGAGACCGAUAGCGAACAAGUACCGUGAGGGAAAGAUGAAAAGCACUUUGGAAAGAGAGUGAAACAGUACGUGAAAUUGUUGAAAGGGAAACGCUUGAAGUCAGUCGCGUCGACCGAGACUCAGCCUUGCCUCGGCUUGGUGUACUUCUCGGCUGACGGGUCAGCAUCAAUUUCGCCCCUUGGAUAAUGGCGAGGGAAAUGUGACACCUUUGCGGUGUGUUAUAGUCUCUCGUCGCAUGCAAGGGUUGGGAUUGAGGAACUCAGCACGCGCCUUUGGGUGUCGGGGCUUUGCCCACGAUACGUGCUUAGGAUGUUGGCGUAAUGGCUUUAAACGA